ACGGUCUGGGAAAAGGCUUCUGUGUGGUUGCCCCUGCCCUGCUGUGGGUGCAGCCCUGUACCAGGCAGCCCGACCUCGACCUAGAGUAAGCCCCCGGGCCAGCGCCGGGUGUUGAACUUGCAGUAACAGGUGUGAACAUUCUAGCAGCCGUUUGAUGGUCAUGUAUGAUACUGCAAACAGGC
rfam:Tupaia chinensis contig37933, whole genome shotgun sequence.